rnacentral:rRNA from 1 species
UACGGAGGAUCCGAGCGUUAUCCGGAUUUAUUGGGUUUAAAGGGUGCGCAGGCGGGAGAUUAAGUCGGCGGUGAAAUUUUGCAGCUCAACUGUAAAAGUGCCUUCGAAACUGGUUUCCUUGAGUGUGGAUGAAGUAGGCGGAAUUUGUGGUGUAGCGGUGAAAUGCAUAGAUAUCACGAGGAACUCCGAUUGCGCAGGCGGCUUACUAAACCAUAACUGACGCUGAGGCACGAAGGCGUGGGGAUCAAACAGGAUUAGAUACCCUGGUAGU